UGGCUCUCGCAUCGAUGAAGAACGCAGCGAAAUGCGAUACGUAAUGUGAAUUGCAGAAUCCAGUGAAUCAUCGAAUCUUUGAACGCAUCUUGCACUCUCUGGUAUUCCGGAGAGUAUGUCUGUUUGAGUGUCAUGAUCAUCUCAACCCACCAGUUCUCUGGAACUGUUCUGUGGUGUUUGGUUUUUGAGUGGUGCUGACAUCUGCGAUGUCCAGCUCAUUUGUAAAGCAUUCGUGUCAUCAUUGAGUUCUCACUCUUGGAUCGACCCAGUGUUGUAACGCAAUUCUUUCACUGGGGACACAUGGCAAAUGGUCCAUGUGGCCAAGACUUAUACGAACUUGUGUUGAUGCUUACAGCGUGAGCACUAGUCUUUCAGGAUAAGACCUCAAAUCAGGCAGGACUACCCGCUGA
rnacentral:misc_RNA from 1 species